rnacentral:rRNA from 1 species
AUGUACAAAGGAAGUCUUGUACAGGGCACUUGGACAUCUGGCAUCAUAUACAUUCCCUACUGCCAAUGCAAGAUGCUGCCCGUACCGCGGGAUGAGUUAGGGUGCCUUCUCUCCAAUUCCUUCGCUCUGGAACAGUUGAAGCUUGUAUUCUGUCAUGAUAUAAUUCACCUCGAGAUACCUUGCCUGCUGCAGCGUUUCAGUUUCUUGGAGGUGCUUGCAUGCUCGAGCCUUGAAGUGGUACAGAAUAAAGCCCAAAUCUCUCCAGAUUUUGGUUUACAGAUAGCCAAUGCACCAAUGGCAUCUAGCAAAUUCCUCCACCUCAAGGUCUUGUGUAUUAAUAUUUUUGGAAGCAAUUUCCACCGGGACUACGAUUAUUUAUCGUUUGUUUCUUUUUUUGAUGCUUCUCCUUCCCUGGAGACUUUUCGCUUAUAUGUAGGUAGGCAGCUCAACUAUGACUCGUUUGAGGGAGAUUCCUCAUCCCUGAGGCGAAUUCCAGAACACCGCCAUGGCAACCUCAAGAGUGUGAAGAUCACCGGUUUCUGCCCCCAAAAGAGCAUGCUUGAGCUAACACGUCAUAUUCUUCAGAAUGCAGCAUCACUUGGGCGCCUUACAUUGGACGCUAGUCCUGUAAAUUACCGGUGUUCUGGUAAUAUACUGGGCAGCAAAUGCUUUCCAAUGCAAACUGCAUAUAUAAGGGAGGCACAUAAAUCAAUCUUGGCUCCGUCGCCGCACACCUGCUCUGCCUCUCCGUCUCUGUCUCUCUCCCUCAAACCCGACGGCGGCACUGGUUUCUCUCCGGCGAGCAUCUCCCUGCCCCUUGGCCCUACCCAUGUACCCCGUGGUCGUGGGCAAUUCUUUGCCACACGCCGGCUCUUCCGUUGGGUCUCUUUUCCCCAACCUCGACGGCGCCAGGGUUUGCUCUCCGACGAGAUGUGCUCCUUUGAUCUUGAGAUGCCACGGGUGCAUCUUCUCUUCUUAUGGCCCGGAGGAUCCAUGUUUCGGACGUUAGAGCCGAUCCCUGAUGCAUUCCCCGUGGAGUCGCGGGAUUUCAUGAGCAUCGCCGAUACCCAGCUGGGCCGCGGCGGCGAGGGCACCCUCUGUGCGGGGACGCCGGCUUAG